rnacentral:rRNA from 1 species
GAUGAACGCUGGCGGCGUGCCUAAUACAUGCAAGUCGAGCGAACGGACGAGAAGCUUGCUUUUCUGAUGUUAGCGGCGGACGGGUGAGUAACACGUGGAUAACCUACCUAUAAGACUGGGAUAACUUCGGGAAACCGGAGCUAAUACCGGAUAAUAUUUUGAACCGCAUGGUUCAAAAGUGAAAGACGGUCUUGCUGUCACUUAUAGAUGGAUCCGCGCUGCAUUAGCUAGUUGGUAAGGUAACGGCUUACCAAGGCAACGAUGCAUAGCCGACCUGAGAGGGAGGGAGGCGACCAGGGAAGAGAGAGACGCGACGGGAACCAGCGGGAGGCAGCAGCGGGGAGUGUGAAGCAAGGGUCGACGAACCGUAGGAGUGAGAUAGCAGGAAAGAUUAUGGGUGUAGGAACGGAAAACCUUCUUAAUGGGGAAGAACAAAAAUGGAAGGAACAGGGCAGAGCCGGAAGGGACGUAAUAAGAAAGCAACGGCUAACUACGUG